rnacentral:lncRNA from 1 species
ACCUUGAAGAUUUGUUGUUCAAGGAGAAACUGAAGAGCAAGAAGGAAAGUGAGAGCCAGCAAUACCAGCAGAGCCAGGUCUGAGCUGGGAGAAGGGGAGAAAGUUUGUGAAGGGGAGAUCGGUGACCUGGGCUCCUUAUGUGCCUGAAAGAGUUUGAGUUUCCUGUUAACUCCAAAUCAACAGUAUUUUCAACAAGAAAUGUGCAAUUGAGAUCAAGUGCUGUUUAAGUGCAGCUAGGAUUUCCACAGGCAGACACUUGUAGUGAAUAGAGUUAUGGAGCAGCAAAAGCACAGAUCUAUUUGGAAAAAGAGAAAAAAUGCAUUGUAUUUUGUUUCAAUUAUAAAAUACCAUCCUCUAAAAGGUGGUUCUAAAUUACAAAGGACUUUGAUUUCUAGGUAGAUUCUGGGUAGAGAAGACUUCCCUUCAUAUUGAGGCAUUAAUGAUGCCUUUUAACCUGGGAAGCAAUAUGACUGGAGUUGUACUUUGAGAAGAUUAAUCAGGUUUGGUUGCAGAAUGAAAGAGAAAAUGAAGUCAAGAGAUUGGUUUAGAGGCUCUAGCAGAAGCUUAGUCAUAUUUCAAAAUGAUCAAAUAUCAAGAAAAACAAUUCUGAGCUGCAUAACUUGUAUAAAGUAAUUUUCAGUGAUUUUUUCAUGGUUAUGAUAAAAGAACUGGAUUAGCAGAAACUUUUACAAUGAAUCAAGAUUUAAUUUGUCUUUGAGCUCAUCUUAAUGAUAUCGGAACAUAGGGAGCAAACGAUGGGGUGGCUGCCUCAGUGCUUGAUUUUUAAUGGUUUUGAAGAGAAUAGUUACAUUUCUUCUCCUAGUAAGAACUAAUGAAUACAUUAAAAGAAAUGAAUUCCCUAUCCCUUUUUACACUGGUCUAUUUCUUCAAAACAUUAAAUACUAUUGAUAAGAU